rnacentral:tRNA from 2 species
GUCUCCAUAGUUUAACUGGAUAAAACUGCGGCCUCCUAAGCCGCUGCUCUGGGUUCGAGUCCCGGUGGGGACGCCA